GCACACCUCAGUCCUCUACAGUCAGUGCUCCAUUUGGACCGCAAUUCGAAUCUCCUAGCUGUAAUACGAUAAUGCUAUCGACCAGGGAGCUCAUAUCGACGUCGGCGCAGCCUCGCGGGCCCAACGAAGCAGAGACGUCUCACAUUUGAUGUCUGAACACGCAAAGACAGUGAAUGUAGCACCUAUAACAGUCCUCAUUUACUGUUCUCACACCGCUUGGCUGUGGUGGUACUUCAUGGUGGCUCAAGGACAUCAGUGUGGGAUCUCGCAAAGCCAGUGAGUGGGGGGGAGUUCGCUAUGGUCGCCAUACGCCGGGGCCAUCUAUAGUGUUGCCUGUGUUCAAUAUAUCUGUGAGCCUUUCAAUCUCCGUCGCAAGACAAUUCUUUGGUUCUGGGGCCAGAGCAUUGCAGAGCAUGACUGUCUUUUUGGUGUGUACUUCAUUCACUGCCGCGACUGCCUCUAGCAGAAGACGGCCAACCCAGCUUCAAGGUACCUACACAUGUCGAUGGCCUUGCGGAUAUUGAAGGCCAUGAAAGAAUACCAUUAAUCC